rnacentral:lncRNA from 1 species
CCCAGUGGGCUACAGAUUCCUUUUUAUCAGCUAGGUCUCUCAUUUCUUCUUCCAGCUGCCGGUUAUUCAUACUCAGCCUCUCAAACAUGGUGGUGAGCUUAUCAAGUUCAUUUGAAAGUUUCUUGUUUUCCUCUGUUAGCAGAAUCUUUUCCCGUUCAUACUUCUGUUUGAACUCUGUUUCAAAUUCCUCUCUUUCACUUUGGUUUUCUCUUCUGGUUUUCUCUAACUUGUCUUUCAAAAUCAUGAUCUCCUUCUUAAGUGCAAGCUGCUGGCUCUCUGCAUCCCGUAGUUCCUUCUUCAGACUUUUUAUUUCAUUAGCAUGCAUUAUUUCACGUUUAGAUAGUUCCUCUUCAUAGAAAACACUUUUCUUUUCCAGGUCUGCCUUUAAUUUAGUGAUCUCUUGCUGGUGUUCUAUACUGCUUACCCCAGGUGAGCGACCAAUCUGUUUUUGCUUUAGCCCCUCUACUUCACUUUCCAGCUGCUUAGAGUACUGCUC